rnacentral:rRNA from 1 species
UACGAAGGUGGCAAGCGUUGUUCGGAUUUACUGGGCGUACAGGGAGCGUAGGCGGUUCGGUAAGCCCUCUGUGAAAUCUCCAGGCUUAACCUGGAACAGUCGGAGGGGACUGCUGGGCUAGAGGACGGGAGAGGAGCGCGGAAUUCCCGGUGUAGCGGUGAAAUGCGUAGAUAUCUGGAGGAACACCGGUGGCGAAGGCGACAUCCUGGACCGGUAUUGACGCUGAGGCGCGAAAGCCAGGGGAGCAAACGGG